GAUGAACGCUGGCGGCGUGCCUAACACAUGCAAGUCGAGCGAGAACCGCUGGAAUGACACUUCGGUAGAAUGAAAGCGGGGAAAGCGGCGGACGGGUGAGUAACGCGUAGGUAACCUGCCCCAUACACAGGGAUAGCCUAGGGAAACCUGGAUUAAUACCUGAUGAAGCAACUGGUCGCAUGACCGGCUGCCAAAGAUUUAUCGGUAUGGGAUGGACCUGCGUCUGAUUAGUGAGUUGGUGGGGUAAUGGCCUACCAAAGCGACGAUCAGUAGCCGACCUGAGAGGGUGAUCGGCCACAUUGGAACUGAGACACGGUCCAAACUCCUGCGGGAGGCAGCAGUGGGGGAUAUUGCACAAUGGGCGGAAGCCUGAUGCAGCAACGCCGCGUGAGCGAAGAAGGUCUUCGGAUCGUAAAGCUCUGUCCUGGGGGAAGAAACAAAUGACGGUACCCCGGGAGGAAGCCCCGGCUAACUACGUGCCAGCAGCCGCGGUAAU
rnacentral:rRNA from 1 species